rnacentral:tRNA from 1 species
UCCCCCUUAGUUCAGUCGGUAGAACGGCGGACUGUUAAUCCUUAUGUCGUUGGUUAAAGUUCAGCAGGGGGAU